rnacentral:tRNA from 1 species
GGUGGGGUGGCAGAGUGGUCGAAUGCGGCGGUCUCGAACACCGCUAUACUCGCAAGAGUAUCGUGAGUUCGAAUCUCACCCCCACCG